rnacentral:rRNA from 1 species
GCUACGGGUGGCAGCAGUAGGGAAUAUUCCACAAUGGGCGAAAGCCUGAUGGAGCAACGCCGCGUGGGUGAAGAAGGUCUUCGGAUCGUAAAACCCUGUUGUUAGAGAAGAAAGUGCGUGAGAGUAACUGUUCACGUUUCGACGAUAUCUAACCAGAAAGCCACGGCUAACUCCGUGCCAGCAGCCGAGGUAAUGCGUAGGUGGCAAGCGUUAUCCGGAUUUGUUGGGCGUAAAGGGAACGCAGGCGGUCUGUUAAGUCUGAUGUGAAAGCCUUCGGCUUAACCGUAGUAGUGCAUUGGAGACUGGGAGACUUGAGUACAGUAGAGGUGGGUGGAACUCCAGGUGUAGCGGUGAAAUGCGUAGAUAUCUGGAAGAACCCCAGUGGCGAAGGCGGCUCUCUGGUCUGUAACUGACGCUGAGGUUCGAAAGCGUGGGUAGCAAACAGGAUUAGAUACCCCGGUAGUC